rnacentral:rRNA from 1 species
GACGAACGCUGGCGGCGUGCUUAACACAUGCAAGUCGAACGGAAAGGCCCUGCUUUUGUGGGGUGCUCGAGUGGCGAACGGGUGAGUAACACGUGAGUAACCUGCCCUUGACUUUGGGAUAACUUCAGGAAACUGGGGCUAAUACCGGAUAGGAGCUCCUGCUGCAUGGUGGGGGUUGGAAAGUUUCGGCGGUUGGGGAUGGACUCGCGGCUUAUCAGCUUGUUGGUGGGGUAGUGGCUUACCAAGGCUUUGACGGGUAGCCGGCCUGAGAGGGUGACCGGGCAGGUAGGGAGGGAGAGCAGGAGCAGCCUCAGAGGUGAGGCAGCAGGGGGGAUUGUGGAAGAAGGGGCGUAGACCAGAAGCAGCACGGCGGGGUGGAGGAGGGGGCAUUUGUGGGUGCAAGCUGCGGGGGCAUGGGACGGAGGGGGAGGGAGGGUAAGGGGUAAGGAGUCACUGGCAAACCACGAGCAAGGAGCGGCGGAAAUGGUGAAGAACCAAGCGGCUGCA